rnacentral:rRNA from 1 species
GGUGAACGCUGGCGGCGUGCUUAACACAUGCAAGUCGAACGGAAAGGCCCUGCUUUUGUUGGGUUCUCGAGUGGCGAACGGGUGAGUGACACGUGAGUAUCCUGCCCUUGUCUUUCGGAUAACUUCAGGAAACUGGGGCUAAUACCGCAUAUGAGCUCCUGCUCCGUGUUGGGCAUUGGAAAGUUUCGGCUGUUGUGGCUGUACUCGCGGGUUAUCAGCUUGUUGGUGUGGUAGUGGCUUACCAAGGCUUUGACGGGUAGCCGGCAUGAGAGGGUGAACGGGCACAUUGGGACUGAGAGACGGACCAGAAGCCUAUGGGAGGCAGCAGGGGGGAAUAUGGCACAAUGGGCGGAAGCCUGAGGCAGAAACGCCGCGUGCGGGAUGACGGCCUUCGGGGUGUAAACCGCUGUCGCCUGUGACGAAGAGGGAGUGACGGUAAUGGGUAAAGAAGCACCGGCUAACUACGUG